rnacentral:rRNA from 1 species
AGUGAACGCUGGCGGUAGGCCUAACACAUGCAAGUCGAACGGCAGCACAGUAAGAGCUUGCUCUUACGGGCGGCGAGUGGCGGACGGGUGCGGAAUACAUCGGAAUCUACUUUUUCGUGGGGGCUAACGUAGGGAAACUUACGCUAAUACCGCAUACGACCUACGGGUGAAAGCCGGCGAUCUUCGGACCUUGCGCGAUUGAAUGAGCCGAUGUCGGAUUAGCUAGUUGGCGGGGUAAAGGGCCACCAAGGCCACGAUCCGUAGCUGGUCUGAGAGGAUCGUCAGCCACACUGGAACUGAGACACGGCACAGACUCCUAGAGGAGGCAGCGGUGGAGAAUAUUGGACGAUGGGGGCGAGGCUGAUCCAGCAAUACCGCGUGGAUGAUGAAGGAGUUAGGGUUGUAGAGUGAUUAUGUUGGGAAAGAAGAGAAGCAGGUUAAUACCCGACUGUACUGACGGUACCCAAAGAAUAAGCACCGGCUAACUUCGUG